rnacentral:rRNA from 1 species
UACAGAGGGUGCGAGCGUUGUCCGGAAUCACUGGGCGUAAAGGGCGCGUAGGCGGCUCGCCAAGCGGGCGGUGAAAGCCCGGGGCUCAACCCCGGGUCGGCCGUGCGAACUGGCGGGCUGGAGCACUGUAGAGGCAGAUGGAAUUCCGGGUGUAGCGGUGGAAUGCGUAGAGAUCCGGAAGAACACCGGUGGCGAAGGCGGUCUGCUGGGCAGUGGCUGACGCUGAGGCGCGACAGCGUGGGGAGCAAACAGG